GACAGAGGUGCCGAGCGUUAGGCGGAAUCACUGGGCUUAAAGCGUGUGUAGGCGGGCCGUUAAGUGUCUUGUGAAAUCCCCCGGCUCAACCGGGGAAUUGCUGGGCAUACUGGCGGUCUUGAGCAAUCUAGGGGCAGAUGGAACAAGUGGCGGAGCGGUGAAAUGCGUAGAUAUCACUUGGAACGCCAAAGGUGAAGACAGUCUGCUGGGGAUUUGCUGACGCUGAGACACGAAAGCCAGGGGAGCGAACGGG
rnacentral:rRNA from 1 species